AGCGGAACGAUGGGAGCUUGCUCCCAGGCGUCGAGCGGCGAACGGGUGAGUAACGCGUAGGAAUCUGCCUGAUAGAGGGGGAUAGCUCGGGGAAACUCGAAUUAAUACCGCAUACGCCCUACGGGGGAAAGCAGGGGAUCUUCGGACCUUGCGCUAUCAGAUGAGCCUGCGUCGGAUUAGCUAGUUGGUGGGGUAAAGGCCCACCAAGGCGACGAUCCGUAGCUGGUCUGAGAGGAUGAUCAGCCACACCGGAACUGAGACACGGUCCGGACUCCUACGGGAGGCAGCAGUGGGGAAUAUUGGACAAUGGGGGCAACCCUGAUCCAGCCAUGCCGCGUGUGUGAAGAAGGCCUUCGGGUUGUAAAGCACUUUAAGCAGGGAGGAAAGGGCAACGGUUAAUACCCGUUGCAGUUGACGUUACCUGCAGAAUAAGCACCGGCUAACUUCGUGCCAGCAGCCGCGGUAAUACGAAGGGUGCAAGCGUUAAUCGGAAUUACUGGGCGUAAAGCGCGCGUAGGCGGUUUGGUAAGUGUGAUGUGAAAGCCCAGGGCUCAACCUUGGAACUGCAUCACAUACUGUCAGCUUAGAGUACGGGAGAGGGGGGUAGAAUUCCACGUGUAGCGGUGAAAUGCGUAGAGAUGUGGAGGAAUACCGGUGGCGAAGGCGGCCCCCUGGAUCGAUACUGACGCUGAGGUGCGAAAGCGUGGGGAGCAAACAGGAUUAGAUACCCUGGUAGUCCACGCCGUAAACGAUGUCAACUAGCCGUUGGGGACGUAAUGUCUUGAGUGGCGCAGCUAACGCACUAAGUUGACCGCCUGGGGAGUACGGUCGCAAGAUUAAAACUCAAAUGAAUUGACGGGGGCCCGCACAAGCGGUGGAGCAUGUGGUUUUAAUUCGACGCAACGCGAAGAACCUUACCUGGUCUUGACAUCCAGAGAACUUGGCAGAGAUGCCUUUGAUGCCUUUCGGGAACUCUGAGACAGGUGCUGCAUGGCUGUC
rnacentral:rRNA from 1 species